rnacentral:rRNA from 1 species
UACAGAGGGUGCAAGCGUUGUUCGGAAUUAUUGGGCGUAAAGGGCAGGUAGGUGGUCUUGUAAGUCAACUGUGAAAUCCCCGAGCUUAACUUGGGAAGUGCGGUUGAUACUGCUUGACUAGAGUACUAGAGGGGUUCGUGGAAUGCUCGGUGUAGCGGUGAAAUGCGUAGAUAUCGAGCGGAACACCAGAGGCGAAGGCGACGAACUGGAUAGUAACUGACACUCAACUGCGAAAGCGUGGGGAGCAAACAGG